rnacentral:rRNA from 1 species
GAUCAUGGCUCAGGAUGAACGCUAGCUACAGGCUUAACACAUGCAAGUCGCGGGGUAACAUCUGGUAGAGCUUGCUCUUCCAGGAUGACGACCGGCGCACGGGUGAGUAACGCGUAUCCAACCUGGCCCAUACCACGGGAUAGCCCGUCGAAAGGCGGAUUAAUACCGUAUGCUGUCAUUAAGAUGCAUAUAUUGAUGACGAAAGGACUGGCGGUAUGGGAUGGGGAUGCGUCUGAUUAGCUUGUUGGCGGGGUAACGGCCCACCAAGGCUACGAUCAGUAGGGGUUCUGAGAGGAAGGUCCCCCACACUGGUACUGAGACACGGACCAGACUCCUACGGGAGGCAGCAGUGAGGAAUAUUGGUCAAUGGGCGCAGGCCUGAACCAGCCAAGUCGCGUGAGGGAGGACGGUCCUACGGAUUGUAAACCUCUUUUGUCGGGGAGUAACGUGCGGGACGCGUCCCGUAUUGAGAGUACCCGAAGAAAAAGCAUCGGCUAACUCCGUG